CCUAGUAAAGCAAGAACGAAUCCCUUCAAAAUCCUCGACAAGAUUUAGUUAUGCAACUGAAUCACAAGGCAAAAUGAGGAAUCCCACAAUAGAAUAUCCGCCACUUAGUAUCGCAAACUUAAAGCCUCUCAACCUCUUUUGAAUGGAGGGGCCGCCACAAAAAGAACCUAAGCCAGCUCUUAACACCCGCAAGAUCCCCCACCCAACUCUUCCCUUCUCAAAGUAACAAAGGCACAUCCCUUAGGUUCACCACUAUAUUCAAAAUGCAGCCAAAACCUCAGAAAACCAAAACAAGCAGCAAACUAGAAGAAGCAAAUCAUUGACAGCCUCACCAGUAAAAGCACAAAAUCAGCAAUACAGAACCAACAUUAGAGUAUUUGCAACCUGUCUGGAGAGGAGGGAUGGAAAAGAGCUUCCCAGCUGCCCCAUGCCACUUAUUAUCCCGUAGAAAGGAGGGAAGCAGAGGAUUUUGAAUGAAUGAGAGAUUCAACCUUAACUAUAUUGAGAUGGUAGCAACUUUUUUCCUCAACAUUUACCUUACAAUUUGUAUCUCUACAUAAAUAGAAACAAAUUUAAUUUGACAAGAAAAUAUAAAUAAGUGAUUAAAAAACAGAGAGAUGUAUUCCCAACAAUGUGCAUUUCAAAUGCAGUAUAACGAUAAAAUUUUCAAUUUGGUGA
rnacentral:lncRNA from 1 species